CUGUAGGUCCAAUUGCAGCAUAAAAUGAAGCAAGAGGCAGAUUUCGACAAUGGAAGGCUUAUCGAGAAAAGGAGUUACUUCAGCUGAAAAGAUUUGCUUGGAGAGAACUGCAAAUAGCUACAGACAACUUUAGUGAGAGAAAUGUUUUAGGACAGGGAGGCUUUCGGAAGGCUUAUAAAGGUGUUCUACCCGAUGGCACAAAAAUUGCUGUUAAAAGAGAGUAUAAGCAGGAACUGUCCCACUAUGGUCAAAAGGUCAACAUCAUCCUUAGCAAACUCAGGAAGCAAAUCACUCUCUGCAAUCUACAGAUAGAGGAGGCAGAAUAUAUUCGCAAGCUCAGGAAACUUUUCGAGGUUGCCUAUCAUCUUCGAGAACUCAAACCUGGGGAGGUGUUUUGGAUUGGCCUACGAGAAAAAAAGUGGCUCUGGGAACAGCCCAAGGCCUAGAAUAUCUUCAUGAGCAAUGCAAUCCUAAGAUUAUUGAUCGGGAUGUGAAAGCAGCUAAUGUAUUACUGGACGUGAAGGCAACUAAUGUCACUUCUGUAGCUAUAUGUCAC